rnacentral:rRNA from 1 species
UACGUAGGGGGCAAGCGUUGUCCGGAUUUAUUGGGCGUAAAGAGCGUGUAGGCGGCCAGGUAGGUCCGUUGUGAAAACUCGAGGCUCAACCUCGAGACGCCGAUGGAAACCAUGUGGCUAGAGUCCGGAAGAGGAGAGUGGAAUUCCUGGUGUAGCGGUGAAAUGCGCAGAUAUCAGGAAGAACACCCGUGGCUAAGGCGGCUCUCUAGUACGGUACUGACGCUGAGACGCGAAAGCGUGGGGAGCGAACAGG